GACGAACGCUGGCGGCGUGCUUAACACAUGCAAGUCGAACGGGAACCUUUAUUUCGGUAAAGGUGAGAGUGGCAAACGGGUGAGUAACACGUAGGCAACCUGCCGACAGGAUGGGGACAACAUUCCGAAAGGAAUGCUAAUACCGAAUGGAGUUCGAGGAUGGCAUCAUCCCCGGAUCAAAGAUGGCCUCUUAACAAUGCUAUCGCCUGUCGAUGGGCCUGCGUCUGAUUAGCCAGUUGGCGGGGUAACGGCCCACCAAAGCGACGAUCAGUAGCCGGUCUGAGAGGAUGAACGGCCACAUUGGGACUGAGACACGGCCCAGACUCCUACGGGAGGCAGCAGUGGGGAAUCUUCCACAAUGGGCGAAAGCCUGAUGGAGCAACGCCGCGUGAGUGAAGAAGGUCUUCGGAUCGUAAAGCUCUGUUGCACGGGACGAAAACCGAGCUUGAGAAUAUUGAGUUUGGGGACGUACCGAGCGAGAGCCCCG
rnacentral:rRNA from 1 species